UCACAAUCAAACAGAAGAGGAGUUAGGAAUUCCAAAGUUCGUCCUCUUUAUUCUUCUCUUCUCAAAACCAUCCAUUGCCAUCCAUUUGCAUAUUCAGAGAAGACAGAAAGAACCAGAGAAGACAGAGAGAGCAGUGCCGUUUCUAAAUCACAACCUUCAUCGAGUCGAUCCUUUUCUUGAUGGAAGGAGGAAUUUGUUCACUCCGGCAUCAUAGUUGUCGCACCAACUGUCACAGGGUUCGGAUAUUGCGGCAGAGCAUCACUGCAUCAGAUGCCCUAGCAGGCGAUUUGAUCAGAUUGCUCUUCAUGUUGGGAGAUAUAUUGUGACCAUGAUGAGCACUGGAGUGAUCUUGUUGAUUGGAUUCAGUCUGUCAAGUUGACUGAAGGUGGAGAUGGUCAAACAAAUGAUUUGGUAUACUUGGGUUGGUGGUAUUAUCAUUGGAAUCAUGAUUGGUUCAAACAUGGUUUUAGACGAAGUGAGCCGAGCCGAUCCUUGAAAUGUUGUAAUUCCCGGAAGUACUAGAGGGCUUGGUAAAGCUCUUGCUCGCGAAUUCCUAUUUUCUGGAGAUCGGGUGGUUAUUGCUUCACGAAGGCAACUCAAAAGCGGAUUCAGGAAUCCAAGCCGGAAAGGAUACUCGUCUAAAAGGAAAUCUCUAAGGUACGUAGCUAC